rnacentral:rRNA from 1 species
GAUGAACGCUGGCGGCGUGCCUAAUACAUGCAAGUCGAGCGAACGGACGAGAAGCUUUCUUUUCUGAUGUUAGCGGCGGACGGGUGAGUAACACGUGGAUAACCGACCUAUAAGACUGGGAUAACUUCGGGAAACCGGAGCUAAUACCGGAUAAUAUUUUGAACCGCAUGGUUCAAAAGUGGAAGGCGGUCUUGCUGUCACUUAUAGAUGGAUCCGCGCUGCAGUAGCUAGUUGGUAAGGUAACGGCUUACCAAGGCAACGAUGCAUAGCCGACCUGAGAGGGUGAUCGGCCACACUGGAACUGAGACACGGUCCGGACUCCUACGGGAGGCAGGCGUAGGGAAUCUUCCGCAAUGGGCGAAAGCCUGACGGAGCAACGCCGCGUGAGUGAUGAAGGUCUUCGGAUCGGAAAACUCUGUUAUUAGGGAAGAACAUAUGUGUAAGUAACUGUGCACAUCUUGACGGUACCUAAUCAGAAAGCCACGGCUAACUACGUG